rnacentral:rRNA from 1 species
AGAGUUUGAUCCUGGCUCAGAACGUACGCUGGCGGCACGCCUAACACAUGCAAGUCGAACGCAGUAGCAAUACUGAGUGGCAGACGGGUGAGUAACAUGUGGGAAUCUGCCUUGUGGUUCAGGACAACAUUGGGAAACCGAUGCUAAUACUGGAUAAGCCCUUACGGGGAAAGUUUUAAUGCCAUAAGAUGAGCCCGCAUUUGAUUAGUUAGUUGGUGAGGUAAUGGCUCACCAAGACAAUGAUCAAUAGCUGAUCUGAGAGGAUGAUCAGCCACACUGGGACUGAGACACGGCCCAGACUCCUACGGGAGGCAGCAGUGGGGAAUCUUGCACAAUGGAGGAAACUCUGAUGCAGCGAUGCCGCGUGAGUGAAGAAGGCCUUUGGGUUGUAAAGCUCUUUUGUAGGGGAAGAUAAUGACUGUACCCUAAGAAUAAGGUCCGGCUAACUUCGUGCCAGCAGCCGCGGUAAUACGAAGGGACCUAGCGUAGUUCGGAAUUACUGGGCGUAAAGCGCGCGUAGGCCGUUGAGUUAGUUAAUUGUGAAAUCCCAAAGCUUAACUUUGGAACUGCAAUUAAAACUGCUCGACUAGAGUUUGGUAGAGGAAAGCGGAAUACAUAGUGUAGAGGUGAAAUUCGUAGAUAUUAUGUAGAACACCAGUUGCGAAGGCGGCUUUCUGGAUCGACACUGACGCUGAGGAACGAAAGCAUGGGUAGCAAACAGGAUUAGAUACCCUGGUAGUCCAUGCGGUAAACGGUGGGCA